CCUACGGGAGGCAGCAGUGGGGAAUUUUGGACAAUGGGCGCAAGCCUGAUCCAGCCAUGCCGCGUGCGGGAAGAAGGCCUUCGGGUUGUAAACCGCUUUUGUCAGGGAAGAAAAGGUUCUGGAUAAUACCUGGGACUCAUGACGGUACCUGAAGAAUAAGCACCGGCUAACUACGUGCCAGCAGCCGCGGUAAUACGUAGGGUGCAAGCGUUAAUCGGAAUUACUGGGCGUAAAGCGUGCGCAGGCGGUUAUGCAAGACAGAGGUGAAAUCCCCGGGCUCAACCUGGGAACUGCCUUUGUGACUGCAUAGCUAGAGUACGGUAGAGGGGGAUGGAAUUCCGCGUGUAGCAGUGAAAUGCGUAGAUAUGCGGAGGAACACCGAUGGCGAAGGCAAUCCCCUGGACCUGUACUGACGCUCAUGCACGAAAGCGUGGGGAGCAAACAGGAUUAGAUACCCUGGUAGUCCACGCCCUAAACGAUGUCAACUGGUUGUUGGGAGGGUUUCUUCUCAGUAACGUAGCUAACGCGUGAAGUUGACCGCCUGGGGAGUACGGCCGCAAGGUUGAAACUCAAAGGAUUGACGGCUGNGAGNGCGAGACGACGACGAGGGAGGAGG
rnacentral:rRNA from 1 species